rnacentral:lncRNA from 1 species
GGAAGAUCAAAGGAGGAUGGAUGAGUGCAUCACUACAGUACUGCCCUGUUUCUCCUUGUUGGCAGCGCUGACUCGAUUUCAUACGAAAGGAGGAUGAGUGCAUCACUACACUUUUUCGUAGGUACAUGGGUUUCAGUAGUUUCGGCCUCUUUCAAGUCAUCAUGUAGUUUCCAUACGAAACCUUUCACUUUCAGUUCAUAAGAAGCAAAAGAAAGUUAUUCAGUACCUUGCAAUUAUUUCGUGAUUAUUAGCCUAUCGGCUGAACCAAAUAUGGCGAGGCGCUCCUGUGCGGGCAGGUAAUUUUGACGUCAUAAGAUCUGCUACUGCUGAUUUCUUCCUGCUGGAAAUGUGUCAUAAUGUGUUGUCACAGCACACUGCUUGAUGCAUUGUCUGGAGUAGCACACACUGCUGGGACCAUAGUUUUAGUCAUUCAGUCUAAGCAGCAGUUCAAAAUUCAGUCUAAGCAGUCUAAGCAGUCUAAGUCCGUGUCAACAAGACCGGCUGGGUUUGUGAUGACUAGGUUGCUAGCACAGCCUCGUGGAUGCAAUGCUCCUCUGGUUUCUUCCUAUCUCGCCAAUUGAAUUGUUUGGGCUAAGAAAAUGUACUCUCUUUGGAUCUGUGAUGCCAUCAGUUUCUGCUAUGAAGUAGUGAUUCUUACAUGGUUUCCAUACGUCAAAUUGUGCCUUAUGUGACCUUUUGCUUUAUUGUAGUACUCCCUCCGUUCAGAAAUACUUAUCCGAGGAAUGGAUGUAUCUAGAUGUAUUUUAGUUCUAGAUACACCCAUUUAUAUCCAUUUCCACGACAAGUAUUUCCAAACGGAGGGAGUAUUAAUUAUUGUAAGAUGCAGAUUUUUAGAAAUAUCAAGGAUUGUGUGAUGCUUGAUUAGGCCUAAAACCUUUAUCUUGCCAAAUUUCUGUACACAUGGUGACCUUUCCGUCCUUUUUCUACUUCUAGGAUAUGAUGUUGGUUCUGAAAUUAUGAUCAUAUAUUUAUGAAGUUCUAUUUUUCUUCUUCAGCUCGUGUCUCUAUGCUUAUCCAAAUAACUGAUUCUUUUUAUUUUGUUGAUCAGGUACUUCAUGGCAGUGUUGUGGACAACAUCACCAUAACCACAUUGAUGGUCCAAGCCCCAGCUCACAACAUCCUUUUUAGUUGGGCUGUGAGCACCUCACACUAGUAGAAAAGGGGCCAAUGGUCUAGGCCGGUCCAGCCCAUUAGUCCCGGUUCAACCCAGAACCGGGACCAAUGGGGGCAUUGGACCCGGUUCGUGAGCCCCGGGGGCCGG